CCCUUGUAAAAUUUAAGAAGCCAUUCAUAUAAUGGCCAACCUAAGAAAGAUAAGAGGGACCAGUUAGUUUGGCAGACUUGUAAAAGUUAAACAAAGCAAAGUAUAAGGAAGAAAUAAGAUAGUUAUUCAUUUGGAUGAAGAAAUCCACCAUAUCCCUCUACUGGGAAGUGGAUCCCAAUUCUUUCAGCUUCUUGGCAUU
rnacentral:lncRNA from 1 species